rnacentral:rRNA from 1 species
AGAGUUUGAUCCUGGCUCAGAGUGAACGCUGGCGGCAGGCCUAACACAUGCAAGUCGAACGGCAGCACAGCAGUAGCAAUACUGUGGGUGGCGAGUGGCGGACGGGUGAGGAAUGCGUCGGAAUCUGCCUUUUUGUGGGGGAUAACGUAGGGAAACUUACGCUAAUACCGCAUACGACCUACGGGUGAAAGUGGGGGACCUUCGGGCCUCACGCAGAAAGAUGAGCCGACGCCGGAUUAGCUAGUUGGCGGGGUAAAGGCCCACCAAGGCGACGAUCCGUAGCUGGUCUGAGAGGAUGAUCAGCCACACUGGGACUGAGACACGGCCCAGACUCCUACGGGAGGCAGCAGUGGGGAAUAUUGGACAAUGGGCGCAAGCCUGAUCCAGCCAUGCCGCGUGUGUGAAGAAGGCCUUCGGGUUGUAAAGCACUUUUGUCCGGAAAGAAAAGCUUCGGGUUAAUAACCUGGAGUCAUGACGUACCGAAG